AUGGCGGUCCUGGCUGUGAUUGGAGGCAUCGAUGGUCGCCUGCGCCUGGGCGGUCAAGUUACGCACGAUGAGUUUGGAGAAGGCACCGUGACUCGCAUCACCCCAAAGGGCAAAAUCACUGUGCAGUUCUCUGACAUGCGGACGUGUCGCGUUUGCCCAUUGAAUCAGCUGAAACCACUCCCUGCCGUGGCCUUUAAUGUGAACAACCUGCCCUUCACAGAGCCCAUGCUGUCUGUCUGGGCUCAGUUGGUGAACCUCGCUGGAAGCAAGUUAGAAAAGCACAAAAUAAAGAAAUCGACUAAACAGGCCUUUGCAGGACAAGUGGACCUGGACCUGCUGCGGUGCCAGCAGUUGAAGCUAUACAUCCUGAAAGCAGGUCGGGCGCUGCUCUCCCACCAGGAUAAACUGCGGCAGAUCCUGUCUCAGCCAGCUGUUCAGGAGACUGGAACUGUUCACACAGAUGAUGGAGCAGUGGUAUCACCUGACCUUGGGGACAUGUCUCCUGAAGGGCCGCAGCCCCCCAUGAUCCUCUUGCAGCAGCUGCUGGCCUCGGCCACCCAGCCGUCUCCUGUGAAGGCCAUAUUUGAUAAACAGGAACUUGAGGUACAGCCAUGCAGCCUUGACAGUUUUUAAUCCACAGCACUAAAUUGUGAACACUUUUUUCUAGAUGUAUAUUUUCUUAAGGAUCUAUUCUGAAUGUUAAAUGAUAGUACGCAAAUAAUUCUAAUGAUUCAUUGGGGUUUAACCAUGUUUGUGCAUAGUCUGCAGAACAUUAUAAUACUAAAGACUGAGAGGGUUGAAGUUUAACCUUAUUUGUGGUUUGUGUAAAUUGUGAAAAAAUAUUAACUAGAUGCAGCAUGGGUUAAAUGCUCAC
rnacentral:lncRNA from 1 species